UAGGGAAUCUUCCACAAUGGACGCAAGUCUGAUGGAGCAACGCCGCGUGAGUGAAGAAGGUUUUCGGACCGUAAAGCUCUGUUGUUGGUGAAGAAGGAUAGAGGUAGUAACUGGCCUUUAUUUGACGGUAAUCAACCAGAAAGUCACGGCUAACUACGUGCCAGCAGCCGCGGUAAUCGUAGGUGGCAAGCGUUGUCCGGAUUUAUUGGGCGUAAAGCGAGCGCAGGCGGAAGAAUAAGCCUGAUGUGAAAGCCCUCGGCUUAACCGAGGAAUUGCAUCGGAAACUGUUUUCUUGAGUGCAGAAGAGGAGAGUAGAACUCCAUGUGUAGCGGUGGAAUGCGUAGAUAUAUGGAAGAAUACCAGUGGCGAAGGCGGCUCUCUGGUCUGCAACUGACGCUGAGGCUCGAAAGCAUGGGUAGCGAACAGGAUUAGAUACCCUGGUAGUCCAUGCCGUAAACGAUGAGUGCUAAGUGUUGGGAGGCUUCCGCCUCUCAGUGCUGCAGCUAACGCAUUAAGCACUCCGCCUGGGGGAGUACGAC
rnacentral:rRNA from 1 species